AAUUCUCAACCCCUCUCGAUUUAUUUCGAGGGGGAGCUUGGAUGGUGGGGGCUGCCGGAGACUAGGACUCGUCCUGGACUCGGGCUCUCCUUAAAUGCAUCGGCUUGCGGUCGACUUUCGACUUUGCGCGACAAGGCUUUCGGCGUGAUACUGAUCGCCGUUCGCUGAAGCGCAUGAAUGAAGGUCCCGCGCCUCUAAUACGUCGACUGUUACUAUCUCUUCGGAGAGAAAACGUCUUCCUCAAUUGAC
rnacentral:misc_RNA from 1 species